UUAAAUAUGGGAUAAAAUAAAUAUUCAUUAAGAUCAAAGAUGUUCAUACAAUUCCAAGAGCAGAAAUAAAAUGAUACAAUAACCGUUGUGGUCCUUGUUAGGGCUUCAUCCUGCCCUAGUGAAGAGAUCAGCCCUCCAUGUAGAAGUGGACGAUAGCAGCACAGCAGGAUGAAGACAGCAUGACUGACUUCUUUCGAGGGAGGUGGCGGCGGGAAAGAAGAGAAGAAUACGUCGUGAUCAUGGAAGAAGCUCCGGCUAAUCUCCCCCAUAACAUUUCAUUUUUUUUCUUUCCGUGGGAAGUUCUUCCCAUAAUACCCAAAAUAAUCUCUCUCCUUUUAUUCUUGUGGGAACUCAACCUGAGAAGAGCUGCCAUGGGAUCCGUCUCCUCCUCCUUUUAUAGCCUUCACCAGCCCUCUCUCCUCCCCUGUUCCGAGUGCAGAUAAGGAUGAUCAGCUACGGGAUAAGGCAGAUGAGUCUGCUCCUUGAUCCUUGGACGCGGUGGGUAUCAUGCGGAUGAAGAUUUGAGUCUAUCGUGGCUGCUGAAGCAGGGGAUGAUAGAUCACAAUGGGAUGAAGGUGGGUCACGAAAAAUCUUUGGGAAGUUUGAGAAUCCUUGGACGAUGGGAUAAGGAUGGAGGCUGAACAGGGGAGUUGGAACGGCUGGGAUUUGAAGCUUAUCUGGAAGCUGAUCCUAUGAACGGAAGAAAGCUUGGGUUGUAUUUGGAUUUGGUUCAUGGGAUUAUGGCUGAGAUUGCUUUAUUCCGAUGCAGGGGAUGAAGGUGCAAGCUGAGAAGAUCUCGGACACUGAGAUUUGAGGUUGGGAAUGGAUGGAACGCAUUGUGAACGCGAUGUGAACGCAGUGGAUGAGCUUGGGACCAAUUUGUUUGGGAUGCUCACGGGAUGAAGAUGAAUCGCGGAUGUAGGGGAAAUCUAGGAAUGAUUUGGUUUGAGGUUUUUAUUCAGCUUGGAACAGGCCAACGGCUCUGUUCUUUGGACGUGGAGGUUUGGUUUUGGCUGGGAGGAGUGGAUGAUGCCGCUGGGAUCAAACACGGAUGGCCAGCCAUGGGAUCUAUGGAGGCUGAUCGCGAAUGGGACGAAGGCUGGCUUGAUCCGUGAUGAAGAUAAGAUGAGCUGGGAGUUUUCCAUGAAUCGCGGACGCUGGGAAGCAAUUUGGGAUUUGGUUGACGGCUUUGGGAUAAGGAUGAUAGGAAAUCUGGAAGGCUUAUCUUGACUGGGAUCUAGCAGAAGAAGAGGAAUACGUGGGAGAUUCUAUUUUUUUGGAUUCGACUGGGAGAAGUGGUUUGGGAUGUUCAUCCGAUUGGGAACAGGGGAUGCUGGGAUUUGUUCCAAAGAAGGGAUAAGGAUGCAAGCGGCUGGAUGGAGCUGAUGGGUAUGCGGAGGGAGAAGAGGAUCCGCGGAUGAUGGAAUGCUGGGAUUUGGGUUCAUUCCAUGGAUCAUGGGACUCUGUUUUGAAGCUAAAAGAGGGGAGGUAAAGGAUGACGUGGAAGAUGAACACGGGCGUGAGGGGAAUGUCGGAAGAGUUGGAAAAUGGCUUUGUUUUGAAACUGGGAAGCUUGAUAUAUGGACACGGGAUGGAUUUCGUGGUAGAAGCUCACGGCUAGGGACUCGGAAGGAUGAGAUGAUGUGAAUUUAAUUUGGCUGGGUUGGUUCGGAAGAGGGAAGACACUGGAUUUAAGGGGACUUGGAAUUCAGAAGAGAUGAAUUUGGGUCGGCUAGGAGAUAAUCCGGAAAGAUGUUGUAAUGUGGGAUAAUGAAACGGAUCNN
rnacentral:lncRNA from 1 species